AUCUCACUCUGCACGGACCCUGUGGCUGGAAGGCAGUGUGCUGUUAGCGGCUGCUGUGCUGAAUGGAGCAGUCACUACCACACUGCCACCUGCUGCAGGGAUAGACUACUGCUGUUUGG
rnacentral:precursor_RNA from 7 species